rnacentral:rRNA from 1 species
UUACCAACCCGAUGCAAACUGCGAAUACCGGAGAAUGUUAUCACGGGAGACACACGGCGGGUGCUAACGUCCGUCGUGAAGAGGGAAACAACCCAGACCGCCAGCUAAGGUCCCAAAGUCAUGGUUAAGUGGGAAACGAUGUGGGAAGGCCCAGACAGCCAGGAUGUUGGCUUAGAAGCAGCCAUCAUUUAAAGAAAGCGUAAUAGCUCACUGGUCGAGUCGGCCUGCGCGGAAGAUGUAACGGGGCUAAACCAUGCACCGAAGCUGCGGCAGCGACACUCAGGUGUUGUUGGGUAGGGGAGCGUUCUGUAAGCCUGCGAAGGUGGCCUGUGAGGGUUGCUGGAGGUAUCAGAAGUGCGAAUGCUGACAUAAGUAACGAUAAAGCGGGUGAAAAGCCCGCUCGCCGGAAGACCAAGGGUUCCUGUCCAACGUUAAUCGGGGCAGGGUGAGUCGACCCCUAAGGCGAGGCCGAAAGGCGUAGUCGAUGGGAAACGGGUUAAUAUUCCCGUACUUGGUGUUACUGCGAAGGGGGGACGGAGAAGGCUAUGUUGGCCGGGCGACGGUUGUCCCGGUUUAAGCGUGUAGGUGUGUGUUCCAGGUAAAUCCGGUU